rnacentral:snRNA from 1 species
CAGUAUCUGUUCCCGCCAC